GAGUAUAACAUAUUUUUUAAUUUUUUUUAGACUUUUUAAUUUAAACAUAAUAAUUAAGCGAAAGACAUGUGAAUGAGAGGAUGGAGCUUCUUACUCAAUAAAACUAUUUAAAAAAUAAUAAUAUCACUAUUCACUUUAAUUUUAACAACAAUGACAAAGAUUAAUAUAUUCAUAUAAGAUACGUUUUUCAGAAAAAAUAAUAUUAACCAUGUUUGCCUGUUUUAGUUACACAAAUUUUUUUAAGCAAAAUCUAUUAGAUCAAUCAUUUUGAGAGGAAGAGAUAUUUCUUUAUUAUUUGUAGAAAUGCUAAUAACACGAUCCUACCAAUAUAAGUACCAAGCAAUAAAA
rnacentral:lncRNA from 1 species